GUACACGCUGUGACUAGCAUAUCAAUAAGCGGAGGAAAAGAAACUAACAAGGAUUCCCCUAGUAACGGCGAGUGAAGCGGGAAGAGCUCAAAUUUGAAAUCUUAAAGGGUUUCCCCUUACGAAUUGUAGUUUAAAGAAGUGUUUUCUGUUGAGGUUUUGGUAAAAGUUCUUUGGAAUAGGACAUCAUAGAGGGUGAGAAUCCCGUAUUUGACCUUUACUUUCAACUUUGUGAUACACUUUCAAAGAGUCGGAUUGUUUGGGAAUGCAGUCCAAAAUGGGUGGUAAAUUUCAUCUAAAGCUAAAUAUUGGCGAGAGACCGAUAGCGAACAAGUACCGUGAGGGAAAGAUGAAAAGAACUUUGAAAAGAGAGUUAAACAGUACGUGAAAUUGUCAAAAGGGAAGCGUUUGACACCAGUGUUGUUUUUCUGAAAAUCAAUUAAAGAACUGUUUAUGCUAAGUUGUUUAGACUUUAUCAGCUAACUGUUUAGUUUUGAGCUUUUCUUUAAUGCACUUUUCAGUUAACAAGUCAACAUCAAUUUCUUUUGCUGUAAAAAAGCUUGAGGAAGGUGGCUUGAGAUUCGUCUUAAGUGUUUAUAGCCUCUUGCCUAUGCAGUCGGAGAGAUUGAGGUCUGCAGCGUAGAUCCUUCGGGGCUAAAUGCAUUUGUGCUAAGUUAUAGCAUUUUAUAGACAACUUGUUGACUAUGAUUUGUCUUGUAGCUUACUCGCUUAUGUUAUUUUACCUACGCUUAGGAUGUUGAAGAUGUAGCACAUCAU
rnacentral:rRNA from 1 species